AGUGAACGCUGGCGGUAUGCCUAACACAUGCAAGUCGAACGGCAGCACAGUAAUAUCUUGCUCUUACGGGUUGCGGGUGGCGUGCGGGUGAGGAGUACAUCGUAAUCUACUUUUUCGGGGGGGAUAACGUAGGGAAACUUACUCUAGUACCGCAUACGACCUACGGUUGAAAGCAGUGGAUCUUCGGACCUUUCGCGGUUGAAUGAGCCGAUGUCGGAUUAGCUAGUUGGGGGGGUAAAUGCCCACCAAGGCGACGAUCCGUAGCCUGUCUGAGAGACUGAUAGGCCACAUUAGAACGGGACCAGCGUCCAGACGCCUACGGGAGGCAGCAGUGGGGAAUAUUGGACAGUGGGCGCAAGCCUGACACAGCCAUACCGAGUGGGUGACGAAGGCCUUCGGGUUGUAAUGCCCUUUUGUUGGGAGAGAACAGCAGCAGGUUAAUACCAAGCUGUUCUGACGGUACCCAAAGAAUAAGCACCGGCUAACUUCGUG
rnacentral:rRNA from 1 species